rnacentral:tRNA from 1 species
CAUUAAAUAGUUUAUAAAAACAUUAUUUUUGGGGAAUAAAAAUCUUUAUUUUAAAGUUUAUUGA